UGUGAAAUUGGGACCCAAAACCUCCUGGGCGAGUUAGAUGGACAACGGUGGCUCACAGAAGCCAGAAAACAAGAUGUUAUGCAGAUCCCGACCCCAACCACUGCUCGCCAGGUAAGAGAGUUCCUGGGGACCGCCGGGUUUUGCAGACUCUGUAUUCCCGGAUUUGCCACACUGGCAGCUCCCUUGUAUCCACUAACCAAA